GAAGAGAUAAUGCUAAUGGUGGAUGCCUUGGCAGUUUGAGCCUAAGAAGGACGCGUGCUUAAACGCGAUAACAUCGGUGAGUCUUUUAGCAGACAUUAUUAACCGGUGGUUUCCGAAUGGGGCAACCUAUUCNNNNNNNNNNNNNNNNNNNNNNNNNNNNNNNNNNNNNNNNNNNNNNNNNNNNNNNNNNNNNNNNNNUCAGUAACCAGAGGAAAAGAAAUCAUACAAAGUCCCGAGAGCAAUCGAGGGAUGAGAUUCCGUUAGUAGCGGUGAGCGAAAGCGGAGCAGUCUAAAGUCUUGACGCAAGUCGAGAGCUAUGCGGGAGCAAUACGUGGAGUGAUUAAGUUAGAAAAAUGUUCUGGAAAGGACAACCAAAGAGAGUGAUAGUCUCGUAUUUAAAAACUUUAAUCACCCUAGUUGCAUUCCCAAGUACCACGAGGCACGGCAAACCUUGUGGGAAGCCGGGUCGGUCACGAUCCAAGACUAAAUACUCAAACUGACCGAUAGUGAACUAGUACCGUGAGGGAAAGGCGAAAAGAACCCCGAUAAGGGGAGUGAAAUAGAACCUGAAACCAUUAGCUAACAAACAGUGAGAGCUUGUCCUUCGGACAAGGAAUUUAAAAUUUUUAAUUUUUAAUUUUUAAUCAAUUUUUAAAUUGUUUUUAAAUUUUAAAUUUCAAAUUAAAAAUUUCUCGUCUGGAGGAUGAGUGAUCACGUGCCUAUCGAAGAAUGAGCCAGCGAGUGUUUGUUUAUUGCAAGUUUAAUCCCGAUUAUUCGGGAAGAGGCGAAGGGAAACCGAGUCCGAACAGGGCGAUUAGCAAUUGACAAACGACCCGAAACUGGGUGAGCUAACCAUGAGCAGGGUGAGUCUCAAUGAAAGUUGAGAGGAGGCCCGAACUCGUCGUCGGUGAAAUGACGUGAGAUGACUUGUGGUUAGGGGUAAUAUGCCUAUCGAACCCAGAAAUAACUGGUUCUCCCCGAGAUAUAUUUAGGUAUAGCCUUCUGUGUUUAAGUUGCGGGGUAGAGCGACUAGAUGUCCCACCAAGCGUAAGCGAGGCGGGAUAACUAAACUCCGAAUACGCAACAAUAUAGCAGAGGAGUCAGUCCCACCGGGAUAAGCCGGUGAGGGCGAGAGGGAAACAUCCCAGAUUCCCGUCUAAGGUUCCUAAAUGAUUUUUUCAGUGUAAAGGCCGUUUAAUUUCCAAUACAGCUGGUAGGUUGGCUCAGAAGCAGCCAUCCUUUAAAGAGUGCGUAACAGCUCACCUGAAUAUACCCCGCUUUUGCGGGGUUGGAGAUUUUGCGCCUAAAAUGAUCGGACCUAAAGAGUCUACCGAAGACGGAAGGAAGCACCAUACGGCGCCUCCGGUAGGGGAGCUUUCUUAUUGCAGUGAAGCGAUAUUGUAAGAUGUCGUGGAGCGAUAAGAAGUGAGAAUGCUGGCAUAAGUAGUGAAUCUUCCAAUGAAAACUUGGAAUGUCGAAUACCCAAGGUUUCCUCAGCAAUGUCAAUCAUCUGAGGGUUAAUCGGAUCUAAGUUAUCCGUCUUCUUGGCGGAUAGCGAUGUACAAGCCGUUAAUAUUCGGCUAUCACUUAUAAGACGUUAUUAACUUUAAGUAUGACGAAAUAUGAAAAUUCGGACCUGGUGAAAACUGGGCCUAAGUUUUUAGUUUUAACGCAAGUUAAAAUGAGAAGCAAAUGCAAAUUCAACUUUGUUGGAUGAGCUGAUAAAUUUAUGUUUCCGAGAAAAGCAUUUAAAGUGAGUUUUAUAAGUGUCCGUACCGCAAACCGACACAGGUGGGUUGGUGGAGUACACUAAGACAUACGGGUAAUAAUAGUUUAAGGAACUCGGCAAACAAACUGAGCGUAAGCUAUGCAAGAUGCUCUGUCCUAACGUAAAGUUAGGAUUGCAACUAAAGUCUGUCAACCGACUGUUUAGCUAAAACACAGGUUCCUGCAAACCCCAAUAGGGGAAGUAUAGGAGCCGCGACCUGUCCAGUACUGGUAAGUUAAUCGUUGAGGCUGACUAUAGCGAGCAAUCUCUAUAGAAGGUUUUGGCGCAAGCUCCAGUGAACGACAGCUCUAACCCUGAGAGUUCUAAGGUAGCGUAACCCCUUGCCGGGUAAGUUCCGGCCCGCAUGAAAGGUUUAACGAGUUGACAACUGUCUUAAACUAUUGCCCGACGAAAUUGAAAUGGCUGUGAAGAUGCGGCCUACCUGCACCUGGACAAAAAGACCCCAAGAGCUUUACUGAAGUUAGACAUUGGUGGAUGGAAAUUGACUGUUGAGCGUAGGAGGGAAGCUGACGCAAGUUGGUUGUCAAUGAAACACCUCUCUUCGAUUUUUAUUCACCUUAAUCCUGCGCAAGCGGGACGACAGUGUUUGACGGUCAGUUUAACUGGGGCGGUUUCCUCCAAAAUUGUAACGGAGGAGCGCAAAGGUUAGCUUGCUGCGUAUAGAAAUCGCAGUGUAAGUGCAAACUCAUAUGCUAGCUUAACUGUGAGGAUGACUAUCCAAACAGAUGCGAAAGCAGGCGUUAGUGAUCCCCCAUUCCAAAGUGAUUUUGGAAGGGGCUUAACGGAUAAAAGCUACCUUGGGGAUAACAGGCUGGUCUCGCCCGAGAGUUCAUAUCG
rnacentral:rRNA from 1 species